CAGUCCCUCGGUGAGACUGCACGUCCCAGGAGUGGGCCAGUGAGUGACGCUUCUGGGGGGGAGUGAUCCUGAAAUGUCAACUUUGCUUCCCUCGGUUCCAGACGGUAACCAGGACCUUUGGCUAAAGAUGGAGAUUAAAUGAUGUGAGCGCUUUACCGCGUGGAUGGCUUCACAAACGGCCAGGAUUUGCCCUAACUAGGUUUCCAUGUGGCUACCAGGGAGCGCAUCAUCACACUGCUACUAAAACACAGACCAAAGAUGUGAAGAAACAGCCCAUAGGCGAAUCACUGCAAGCAGAUCCUCUGUCUUCCUCUCCAUGUGUUUAUUCUCUCCCACAGUUUCAAUGCCAACCCAGGGAAGAGAGCAUUGGCCAGGCAGAAAAGGGAAGCAGAAAUAAACACUUGCCUUCGAUUUUAAGGGGGUGGAGAAAGGACAAAACCAGGCCAAGGGAGAGUGUAGUGAUCUUAUUUCACUUCUUAGUUGACUCAAGUCCUUGCAAGGGUGUUCUGGAAACAUCAGUGCCCUCUGGAAACUACUGCCCCUCACCAGGAUGAAAUCUCUUGCCUAUGUGUGUGCUUGAGAAUGAACAGCUGGUUUCUAGGCACAAGACUGAGCUCCAGUUUUUUGAACAUCUUUUUGUUAAUGAUUUUUAUAUUGGUAAUGUAUGCAGGUGGCACAAAAUUUAAAACAAACAAGAACAGGUUAAAAACUUUCUUUUAUAUCUACAGCCAUUCAGUUGGAGAUGUUUCUGGAGAUGUUCUGAUCAGAUUCAGGCAUAAAAUAUCACAACUUUUGUAUUAUCACAAAUAUUUACAAUUGCAAUAGUACUUCACUAUCUGGAAUAUUUUAUUAAUCUGUACCCUAUUGAUGGGGAUUUCAAUGUGUUGGUAAGACAAGAUGAAAAUACAUUUUGUGUGUGUAGACUUCUAGAGGCGGAACUGCUGACUUAAAGGUCAUGUACAUUAAAAUUUUUUCUUUA